rnacentral:rRNA from 1 species
GUGGGGAAUUUUGGACAAUGGGCGCAAGCCUGAUCCAGCAAUGCCGCGUGCAGGAAGAAGGCCUUCGGGUUGUAAACUGCUUUUGUACGGAACGAAACGGUCCGGGUUAAUACCCUGGGCUAAUGACGGUACCGUAAGAAUAAGCACCGGCUAACUACGUGCCAGCAGCCGCGGUAAUACGUAGGGUGCAAGCGUUAAUCGGAAUUACUGGGCGUAAAGCGUGCGCAGACGGUUUUGUAAGACAGGCGUGAAAUCCCCGGGCUCAACCUGGGAAUUGCGCUUGUGACUGCAAGGCUGGAGUGCGGCAGAGGGGGAUGGAAUUCCGCGUGUAGCAGUGAAAUGCGUAGAUAUGCGGAGGAACACCGAUGGCGAAGGCAAUCCCCUGGGCCUGCACUGACGCUCAUGCACGAAAGCGUGGGGAGCAAACAGGAUUAGAUACCCGAGUAGUCC